rnacentral:tRNA from 1 species
GGAAUAGUUUAAUGGUAGAACGACGGACUCUGACUCCGUUAGUCUUGGUUCGAAUCCAGGUU